rnacentral:rRNA from 1 species
CCAAUAGCGUAUAUUAAAGUUGCUGCAGUUAAAAGCUCGUAGUUGAAUUUCGGGACCAUCAUGUCGGUCGUGCCUCGGUACGUACUGGCAUCGUCGGUUUCUCCCUUCUGACGAACCAUGAUGUCAUUUAUUUGGUGUCGUGGGGAAUCAGGACUGUUACUUUGAAAAAAUUAGAGUGUUUAAAGCAGGCUCACGCUUGAAUACAUUAGCAUGGAAUAAUGAAAUAGGACGUUUGAUUCUAUUUUGUUGGUUUCUAGGAUUGACGUAAUGAUUAAUAGGGAUAGUUGGGGGCAUUAGUAUUCAAUUGUCAGAGGUGAAAUUCUUGGAUUUAUUGAAGACUAACUACUGCGAAAGCAUUUGCCAAGGAUGUUUUCAUUAAUCAAGAACGAAAGUUAGGGGAUCGAAGACGAUCAGAUACCGUCGUAGUCUUAACCAUAAACUAUGCCGACUAGGGAUCGGAUGAUGUUAAUUUUUUAAUGACUCAUUCGGCGCCUUACG